GAUGAACGCUGGCGGCGUGCCUAAUACAUGCGAGUCGAGCGAACAGAUAAGGAGCUUGCUCCUUUGACGUUAGCGGCGGACGGGUGAGUAACACGUGGGUAACCUACCUAUAAGACUGGGAUAACUUCGGGAAACCGGAGCUAAUACCGGAUAACAUUUGGAACCGCAUGGUUCUAAAGUGAAAGAUGGUUUUGCUAUCACUUAUAGAUGGACCCGCGCCGUAUUAGCUAGUUGGUAAGGUAACGGCUUACCAAGGCAACGAUACGUAGCCGACCUGAGAGGGUGAUCGGCCACACUGGAACUGAGACACGGUCCAGACUCCUACGGGAGGCAGCAGUAGGGAAUCUUCCGCAAUGGGCGAAAGCCUGACGGAGCAACGCCGCGUGAGUGAUGAAGGGUUUCGGCUCGUAAAACUCUGUUAUUAGGGAAGAACAAACGUGUAAGUAACUGUGCACGUCUUGACGGUACCUAAUCAGAAAGCCACGGCUAACUACGU
rnacentral:rRNA from 1 species